GACAGAGGGUGCAAACGUUGUUCGGAAUUACUGGGCGUAAAGCGCGUGUAGGCAGCUCGGAAAGUCGGAUGUGAAAGCCCUGGGCUCAACCUAGGAAGUGCAUUCGAAACUUCCGAGCUGGAGUGCUGGAGAGGAAGGCGGAAUUCUCGGUGUAGAGGUGAAAUUCGUAGAUAUUCGCAAGAACACCAGUGGCGAAGGCGGCCAACUGGACCAACACUGACGCUGAUGAGCGAAAGCCAGGGGAGCAAACGGG
rnacentral:rRNA from 1 species